UACGAAGGGGGGCUAGCGUUGUUCGGAAUUACUGGGCGUAAAGCGCACGUAGGCGGAUAUUUAAGUCAGGGGGUGAAAAUCCCCAGAGCUCAACUCUGGAACUGCCCUUUGAUACUGGGGUAUCUUGAGUAUGGAAGAGGUAAGUGGAAUUGCGAGUGUAGAGGUGAAAUUCGUAGAUAUUCGCAGGAACACCAGUGGCGAAGGCGGGUCUCUGGGCCGAUACUGACGCUGAGGUGCGAAAGCGUGGGGAGCAAACAGG
rnacentral:rRNA from 1 species